GCCUAACACAUGCAAGUCGGAUGUGCCGCAAGGUGCAUGGCAGACGGGUGAGUAACGCGUGGGGAAUCUACCUUUUUGUGGGGAAUAACGCUCCGAAAGGAGUGGUAAUACCGCAUGAGACCGCGGCCUGGGAUGGCUGCGGUGAAACCUGGGGACCGGUAACGGCCUGGGGCAAAGAGAGGAUCCUGCGUCUGAUUAGCUAGUUGGCGGGGUAAUGGCCCACCAAGGCGACGAUCAGUAGCCGGCCUGAGAGGGUGAUCGGCCACACUGGAACUGAGACACGGUCCAGACUCCUACGGGAGGCAGCAGUGGGGAAUUUUGCGCAAUGGACGAGAGUCUGACGCAGCAACGCCGCGUGGGUGAUGAAGGUCUUCGGACUGUAAAACCCUGUCGUCAGGGACGAAGGUGCGCGUGUUAAUAGCAUGUGUGCCUGACGGUACCUGGAGAGGAAGCCCCGGCUAACUCUGUGCCAGCAGCCGCGGUAAUACAGAGGGGGCAAGCGUUAUUCGGAAUUAUUGGGCGUAAAGGGCGCGUAGGCGGUUUUUUAAGUCAGAUGUGUAAUCCCCGAGCUCAACUUGGGAACUGCAUCUGAGACUGGAAGGCUAGAGUACUGGAGAGGGUGGUGGAAUUCCUCGUGUAGCGGUGAAAUGCGUAGAGAUGAGGAGGAACACCAGUGGCGAAGGCGGCCACCUGGACAGUAACUGACGCUGAGGCGCGAAAGUGUGGGUAGCAAACAGGAUUAGAUACCCUGGUAGUCCACGCUGUAAACGAUGAACACUUGGUGUGGAGGGAGUUGACCCCUUCCGUGCCGGAGCUAACGCGUUAA
rnacentral:rRNA from 1 species